rfam:Nematostella vectensis strain CH2 x CH6 NEMVEscaffold_1791_Cont38706, whole genome shotgun sequence.
GACUCCGUGGGCCAAUGGUACCGCGUCUGACUCCAGAUCAGAACGUUGCGUGUUCAAAUCACGUCGGGGUCA